GGGGAAUUUUCCGCAAUGGGCGAAAGCCUGACGGAGCAAUACCGCGUGAGGGAGGACGGCUUUUGGGUUGUAAACCUCUUUUAUCAGGGAAGAAUUGAUGACGGUACCUGAUGAAUCAGCAUCGGCUAACUCCGUGCCAGCAGCCGCGGUAAUACGGAGGAUGCAAGCGUUAUCCGGAAUUAUUGGGCGUAAAGCGUCCGUAGGUGGCUUAUCAAGUCUGCUGUCAAAGCGUGCGGCUUAACCGCAUACGGGCAGUGGAAACUGAUGAGCUAGAGUGCGAUAGGGGUAACAGGAAUUCCCAGUGUAGCGGUGAAAUGCGUAGAUAUUGGGAAGAACACCAGCGGCGAAAGCGUGUUACUGGGUCUGCACUGACACUGAGGGACGAAAGCUAGGGGAGCGAAAGGGAUUAGAUACCCCUGUAGUCCUAGCCGUAAACGAUGACAACUAGGCGUGGUUCGUAUCGACCCGAGCCGUGCCGUAGCCAACGCGUUAAGUUGUCCGCCUGGGGAGUACGCACGCAAGUGUGAAACUCAAAGGAAUUGACGGGGGCCCGCACAAGCGGUGGAGUAUGUGGUUUAAUUCGAUGCAACGCGAAGAACCUUACCAAGGCUUGACAUCCUCGGAACCCUGCUGAAAGGUGGGGGUGCCUUCGGGAACCGAGAGACAGGUGGUGCAUGGCUGUCGUCAGCUCGUGUCGUGAGAUGUUGGGUUAAGUCCCGCAACGAGCGCAACCCACGUUUUUAGUUGCCAGCAUUCAGUUGGGCACUCUAGAGAGACUGCCGGUGACAAACCGGAGGAAGGUGUGGAUGACGUCAAGUCAGCAUGCCCCAUACGCCUUGGGCUACACACGUACUACAAUGCGAUGGACAAAGAGCAGCAAGUCAGCGAUGGCAAGCCAAUCUCGAAAACCAUUGCUCAGUUCAGAUUGCAGGCUGCAACUCGCCUGCAUGAAGGCGGAAUCGCUAGUAAUCGCAGGUCAGCAUACUGCGGUGAAUACGUUCCCGGGCCUUGUACACACCGCCCGUCACACCAUGGGAGUUGGUCACGCCCGAAGUCGUUACUCUAACUGCUUGCAGAGGAGGACGCCGAAGGUGGGGCUGAUGACUGGGGUGAAGUCGUAACAAGGUAGCCGUACCGGAAGGUGUGGCUGGAUCACCUCCU
rnacentral:rRNA from 1 species